UCUUUUCUUUUGAUAAAAGGGCUUUUAAAGUCAAUGUUAUUUUUGCAAGUUUAAAAAAAUUUUGUGUGUUAAAUUUUUUAUUGUUGGUAUUAAAGAGUUUUAUUAAACUUAAACUUAAACUUAAGCUUAGAUCAUUUUGGGGGGGUUUAGCUCAGUUGGCUAGAGCAUCGGCUUUGCAAGCCGAGGGUCAAGGGUUCGAGUCCCUUAACCUCCAUUGGGCAUGUGUCUUGAAUUGUGAUUCAUUAUGCUUUCAAGUACUUUUAUUAAAGUAGUUAUUGGAAUGUAAAACAGAGUAAUUUAAGAUUUCUGGGUUAAAGUUGGGAUCUGCCUGUUGAUAUUAAUAAGAAUGCCUAGAAGCGAGGGCAAACUUUUGAUAAAAAGCGGAUUUGUUUCUCUAUAGUACAAGGAUUGAGCAGCAUUAUAUUUUCCAACAGCCUAUUCUAUAAACGAACUACAUUUAUUACUAGCUUUUAGUUAGGAAUUGAUGUGGAUUUCCAGUUGUAGUGCUUGGGGGGGUAAGCAUUGUAGCGAGCCGUCACCCUUGUUAUCUUUACCAGUAUGUAAGGAUAUUCUAGACAAGACUGUUAAUUAUAAGUUGGAGGAAAGCCAAGUUUGCGCUAAAUCAGCAUGUUUCUUGUGUCCUAGAUUAUAAGCUUGCCGUAAUAGCCUAAAAAAGCCAAUCAAAAUGCCAUAAAUCAGAUUUCAGUUUGAAUUUGCCUGGUACUCAAUGUUAUGAAGUUGGAAUCGUUAGUAAUUAGUAUAUGCUUUAACAUAGAAAUUUAAUAAAAUUUUGAUGUUUUUAUUAAUUAUAGCUUAAAU
rnacentral:misc_RNA from 1 species